rnacentral:misc_RNA from 1 species
UCUUGGGAUUCAGGUUUUACAUUUUCACAUUUGUUUAAACACUUCAAUAAAAAACAGCAACUAAAAUAAUAACAAGCGAUAAUAAUGAAAAAAUAUGUGAUGUUUUAUUAGAAGUAUUGUUUGUAUUCUUGGAAAUAUUCAUAUUUAAAUUAUGUUAUGUGGCACUGAAAGGUACUAAAAUUUAAAGAAACUUCUAUGGAAAACAAAAAGGAGUUUAAAUUGUCGUGUUCUAGUCAGGUGCGUUUUCCACACAGACAAAAAUUAUCUAGCAUUGAAAGGAUGUAUUUUGAAAAUAAUGCACAUCAUUGUGUAAGGCCAUGUUCUGAUGUAAACAAUAAAACUGAAUUUAAAAGAUUUAAUAGAUUCAAGAAUGAAGAUGAGAGAUCUAGAUAUUCUGCCCCCUCUCCUUCUGAAGAUUAUAAUAGAGGGAAGAGAGAUCUGAAAGAUCGCAGGCCAUUGAGAACAAGUAAACCAGUGCACAGUUCUAGAAUUGAUAUCCUAUAUGAAGACUCCUUUUCAGAUGCUGAUUAUAAUUUUGAGCAUGAUGAGAAAUAUGUGGAUUCUGCAUAUUCACAUUUUGAAGAUUCUGCCAAGCAGAACUCUGCCUUAAGAGACAGACAGUCAUUGCAAACUAGAAAUUCGAAUCAGAGUUAUAAAAGUGAAAUUUAUGACAGAGAGUCGUUCUCUGAUGUGGAUUGCAAAUUUGAAGACUCCGACGAGGAAACCUAUGGUAAAAAUUCAAGAUCUCGUAAUUUUGAAAUUUCUGAUAGAGAAAGACUGGGUUUGAGAGUUAAUGAACCACUGCAAUCCAGACAGUCAAAUUAUAACCAGGAAAGUGAUCUGCAGGAAGAAGACAUUGAUUAUAGGUUACAAGGAUUCAGCUCAGAUGAUGAUAAAAAUAAGGUUCAGACUAGGCUUAACCCUACAGGAAAUUCAUCUGUUCACAAAGGAGAGUUUACAAGGUUAACUUCAGGUAACUCUGAGUUCAAUUAUGAGAAGUUACAUUCUGUCAAAAUCAAAAAUAGUUGCAAAGAUUCAGAAUAUUCAAAAUCCAGCAUUUCUAGUCACAGAUCCUCACAGAAAUACAAAACUGAAGCACAAACAAAAAUGCACCAUGAUACUAGAGAAAAUGCUGUGAGAACAAAACAAACACCAAGAAACAGACAAAUAGUUCAGGAAUAUGAAGUAACCUUUAAUGAGGGAAAUACUCAAAGUUCAAGACACAAAAGUUUUAAUAAUCGAGUUUUUCCCUUCUCUACAGGAAAUGAAAAUGAUUAUGAAGGUGAUGCAAAUGUUUUGUGCUAUAAGCAAAGGCACUGGGCUGACCAUUCUGAAAUAACUUUAGUUAAGAAACCUCAAAAACAAUUUGUAGAUAAAGACAUGGAAUAUGCUCAUUCUAUGCAUUUUACAAAUGAAGCUGAAGCUGUCCAAUCUGCUAAAGGUAAAAACAUUAGAAAAAGAAUGAGACAUGAUACAAUUUAUGACAACUAUACUUUUGAUGAACACUUUCAAGCAGCUGAUGGUUGUGUAGAACACAAUGGGAGAACUUUGUCAAUGGCUGAUGCUCGUAAAAUUGCUGUAUUGUUACAUGGGCAGUCACAUGCAGAAACAAAUUUAAUUGAUUCAGGUUUAAGAGCUGCCUCAGGAGCUAAAGUCUUUUAUGUUGGAGGUGUGAGAAGAUGUUGGUCUAAAAGUUGUUGGAGCAAAUCCAAUCAUUCUCAUGCUUCAGUCAAUCAUGAGUUUCUAACAAAUAGGGAUGCUAUUUAUGAAAAACUGGGUACUACUACUACAGGUGCUGAUUCAUUUAAGCGAAAGAUAUGUUUUCCUGUGCUGACAUUUUUUAAAAGUCUUUUUCAUAAUUUAACUAUAUGGGGAACAACACUGAAGCGUAUUGAAGGUCAGUUUGGAACUGGAAUUGUGUCCUAUUUCAUUUUCCUUCGAUGGCUGAUAUUUUUAAAUAGCUUAACAUUUCUUUUCUAUCUCUUCCUUAUAAUUUUUCCUCAUGUUGCAUUUUCUAUUAUACCUCAUGGUGAACCAUCUAUAACAAAAAAUCAAACCAUAUUCACUGAAGAAUUUCUGAAUCAUUUCCCAGUUGAAGAAGAUCUCACACAAAAAUCUUCAACAAAAAAGUAUCAAGUGCCAAAGUUUCUAAACCUCUCUGAUGCAAUGAUAGAUCAAGAUAUUCUAAGUUAUGCUGGUACUUUACUUGAUCAUUACAUACCUGAUGAGAUUUUGGAUCUCACUCUAUAUUAUGAUAGAAGAAAUCGCACCCUUGAAGAACGUCAUAAUAUUUCAGAAUAUUGCAGAUGGCGCUAUGUAAACGACUUACAAAAUACCAGUUUGCAUACCUCUAACAAAUUUGAAGACGUUUUGCAAGGAACGGGGGUACUUGAAACCACUCUCUUGUUCCUUGGUUCUUAUCCACCUAAAGAAGUUGCAUUCUUGGGUUAUGUUUACAGCAUGCCACUUGCCUUCCUUUCAGUACUUAUAAUAUCUUUUAUUUUGAGCAUAAUCAUGAUGGUGCAAUAUUCAUCCCAUGGCAUUGAAGAAACUAUGUUGCUAAGAAAGAGCAAUUAUUUACUUUAUUCUAACAUCAUGUUUUGUUCCUGGGAUUAUUGCAUUGAAGAUAAGAAAAGUGCUAGAGUUAGACAUAAAAGCAUUGCAAAUGAAAUAAAGAAUAAUCUUGCUGAAGAACGUAGAAAGCUAGAAAUCAAAGAAUGGUCUAAUGCCAAAAAGACAAGAGUAUUAAUUUUGCGAAUUUUUGUAAAUCUUUUUGUAGUGCUAACUUUACUUGGUUGUUAUUACCUUAUAUACGAAGUUGUUCAUUACCAGCUAAAGGAACUACAGUUACAUCGUAUAAAGAACAUUGGUACAAACACACUGUUUGUGCAAUAUCUUUCCCCACUAGUCAUUACUGGCCUCAAUUUGGUUGUUCCUAUUAUUUUUCUCAGUAUAGUUAAGCUUGAGAUGUAUAAUACUCAAACCCAGAUAAAUAUGGCCCUUUUCAGGAUAGUAUUUUUGAGGCUUUCAUCUGUAUUUGUUCUGGUUAGCACUCUCCAUCAGCAACUGACAUGUCAACCUAGAGAUAUGUGUAAUGCUGGGAUUAGUGCUGCUUGCCGUACCCCUCUUUGCUGGGAAACAUACGUGGGGCAACAGAUUUACAAAUUAGUCAUCACAGAUUUCUUUGUUUACAUCCUAAUUUUUAUAUGUUAUGAUAUACCUCGAGAUUUUAUUGUUCGGAGUUGCAAAAAUAAAGUUACUGAAUUGGUUGGACGUCAAGUUUUUGAUCUACCUAAUCAAGUGCUCUCAUUAGUGUAUUCUCAAACACUAUGUUGGUAUUUUGUGAUUCCAGUCCAAGGCUGAGUUCAAUCAUGAGAUUAAAAUAUCAUGAUUAAAUAGUUCAGAUAUCAAAUCGCAAAAAUUCACUUGCUACUGAUUUCAGGGCAAUGGCGAGUUUAUAACAACUUCAGCAAACAAGAUGAAGAAAAGAAAUCAACAUUUUCGUUUAAAUAUAAAAUACGCUUGGAAUUUUUUAUUCCCCUAUGCUACCAGCAGUAACAGUGAUAAAAUUUAUAAUUCUUUUUUAUAUAAAAAAGCGCUUAGUUCUACAUUUUUCUAUACCUCCUCCUGUGCCUUACAAAGCAUCACGC